UCAGGAAACCAUUCAAAAACUGGGCCCGUAUUCACAAAGCAUCUCAGAGUCCUCUCAGAGAGCUCCCAACUUAGCCUAAAGAUUCCUAGCAAGGAAUCUUAGUCUAAAAGUGAUCCAGGAAGUGUCUGAGUGCAACUCUGAGCAAGGAGUGGACAGAAACUCUUAUCUUUGUGUGGAGGCAGGG